AUUGAACGCUGGCGGAAUGCUUUACACAUGCAAGUCGAGCGGCAGCGCGGGGGCAACCCUGGCGGCGAGCGGCGAACGGGUGAGUAAUACAUCGGAACGUGUCCUUCAAGUGGGGGAUAGCUCGGCGAAAGCCGGAUUAAUACCGCAUAAGCUCUGAGGAGGAAAGCGGGGGACUGGUAACGGCCUCGCGCUGUUGGAGCGGCCGAUGUCGGAUUAGCUAGUUGGUGGGGAAAGGCCCACCAAGGCGACGAUCCGUAGCUGGUCUGAGAGGAUGAUCAGCCACACUGGAACUGAGACACGGUCCAGACUCCUACGGGAGGCAGCAGUGGGGAAUUUUGGACAAUGGGGGCAACCCUGAUCCAGCCAUUCCGCGUGAGUGAAGAAGGCCUGGUGUAAG
rnacentral:rRNA from 1 species